GAUGAACGCUGGCGGCGUGCUUAACACAUGCAAGUCGAACGAAGCAUUUUGAAAAGCUUGCUUUUUGAAAUGACUGAGUGGCGGACGGGUGAGUAACGCGUGGGUAACCUGCCUUAUACAGGGGGAUAACAGUUAGAAAUGACUGCUAAUACCGCAUAAGCGCACAGUGCUGCAUGGUACAGUGUGAAAAACUCCGGUGGUAUAAGAUGGACCCGCGUCUGAUUAGCUAGUUGGUGAGGUAACGGCUCACCAAGGCGACGAUCAGUAGCCGACUUGAGAGAGUGAACGGCCACAUUGGGACUGAGACACGGCCCAAACUCCUACGGGAGGCAGCAGUGGGGAAUAUUGCACAAUGGGGGAAACCCUGAUGCAGCAACGCCGCGUGAGUGAAGAAGUAUUUCGGUAUGUAAAAGCUCUAUCAGCAGGGAAGAAAAUGACGGUACCUGACUAAGAAGCCCCGGCUAACUACGUGCCAGCAGCCGCGG
rnacentral:rRNA from 1 species